GUGAUGCUCAGGAGGUUGUUAACGGUUUCUCUAAGGUCAUAAUUGGUCUCAGCUGGCGCCAGGGCGAGGCAGUCUCCUAAACAGAAAACACCUGAAACUGAUCAGCAGCGUCUCAGUAAAAUCUUAGGAGUGGGGAGAAGUAAUGCAAGAUCCCGGAAGUCACAGCAGCUUACUGUUUUAUCCCUAGGCAUCUGAAUCUCAGGUGGAAUUCUUACUGAAGCUCAAAAAUUAGUAGGCCAGGCUCACACUGCCAAGGAAGCGGAGUACCAGAGACUUCAGCUUUCAGUCUGGAGAGAGAGAGUGGCUUAUCUCCACCUGAAAAAAUCUGAAGAUGCAGUAGAGGAAAAUAACUAAGAGCACAGAUUUUGGAGCCAUACAGCUUGGGAUACAAUCCCUUCCGUGCUGGCAGUUUCUUUUCUGGUCAUGAAUCAGAUAUGGUGAAGGAAUAAGAUUUUUGUGUUCACAGAAUCCUCAGAACCUUCAGCCUUUCCAUGAAGUUGAAAUUAGAUCCUCUGUUUUGGUAGCCCUGGCACUUAUUUGCACUUCAUGGGUUUUGGUUAUCUUCAGUUUAAUUGAAGAUGGUGCUUGCAGUUUUUAUUCUUCUCCUUUGUAAAGCAAUGUUUCUGUCUGUUAUAACUGUAUGGAAUAUGUAAUAAAAAAGUGCUGUCAAAUCA